AUUGAACGCUGGCGGCAGGCUUAAUACAUGCAAGCCGAGCGAGCGGCGGACGGGUGAGCAAUGUCUGGGAAACUGCCUGACGGAGGGGGAUAACUACUGGAAACGGUAGCUAAUACCGCAUACCAUCAGAUGUGCCCAGAUGGGAUUAGCUCGUAGGUGGGGUAAUGGCGCACCUAGGCGACGAUCCCUAGCUGGUCUGAGAGGAUGACCAGCCACGCUGGACCUGGGACACGGUCCACACGCCUACGGGAGGCAGCAGUGGGGAAUAUGGCACAAUGGGCGCAAGCCUGAUGCAGCCAUGCCGCGUGUGUAAAGAAGGCCUUCGGGUUGUAAAGCACUUUCAGCGGGGAGGCGUUACUCGCAGAAAAAGCACCGGCUAGCUCCGUGCCAGCAGCCGCGGUAAUAC
rnacentral:rRNA from 1 species